UACGUAGGGGGCUAGCGUUGUCCGGAUUUAUUGGGCGUAAAGAGCGUGUAGGCGGCCAGGUAGGUCUGCUGUGAAAACCCGCAGCUCAACUGUGGGCUUGCAGCUGAUACGGGCAGGCUUGAGUUCGGUAGGGGAGACUGGAAUUCCUGGUGUAGCGGUGAAAUGCGCAGAUAUCAGGAGGAACACCGGUGGCGAAGGCGGAUCUCUGGGCCUUACCUGACGCUGAGGCGCGAAAGCUAGGGGAGCGAACAGG
rnacentral:rRNA from 1 species